rnacentral:rRNA from 1 species
AACGGUCAUUCGAAACUGUCGGACUAGAGUACUGGAGAGGAGAGCGGAAUUCUUGGAGUAGCGGUGAAAUGCGUAGAUAUCAAGAAGAACACCGGUGGCGAAGGCGGCUCUCUGGACAGUUACUGACGCUGAGGUACGAAAGCCGGGGUAGCGAAGAGGAUUAGAUACCCUCGUAGUCCCGGCAGUAAACGAUGUGCACUUGGUGUGGGAGGGAGUUAUCCCCUUCCCGUACCGGAGUUAACGCGUUAAGUGCACCGCCUGGGGAGUACGGCCGCAAGGCUAAAACUCAAAGGAAUUGACGGGGGCCCGCACAAGCGGUGGAGCAUGUGGCUUAAUUCGAUGCAACGCGAAGAACCUUACCUGGGUUUGACAUGCCCGUCGUAUUCCCCUUAAAGG